rnacentral:rRNA from 1 species
UACGGAGGGGGCUAGCGUUGUUCGGAAUUACUGGGCGUAAAGCGCGCGUAGGCGGACCUGCAAGUCGGGGGUGAAAGCCCGAGGCUCAACCUCGGAACUGCCUUCGAUACUGCGGGUCUCGAGUCCGGGAGAGGUGAGUGGAAUUCCUAGUGUAGAGGUGAAAUUCGUAGAUAUUCGGAAGAACACCAGUGGCGAAGGCGGCUCACUGGUCCGGUACUGACGCUGAGGUGCGAAAGCGUGGGGAGCAAACAGG